rnacentral:rRNA from 1 species
AGAGUUUGAUCCUGGCUCAGGACGAACGCUGGCGGCGUGCCUAAUACAUGCAAGUCGAACGCACUCUCGUUUAGAUUGAAGGAGCUUGCUCCUGAUUGAUAAACAUUUGAGUGAGUGGCGGACGGGUGAGUAACACGUGGGUAACCUGCCCUAAAGUGGGGGAUAACAUUUGGAAACAGAUGCUAAUACCGCAUAAAACCUAACACCGCAUGGUGUAGGGUUGAAAGAUGGUUUCGGCUAUCACUUUAGGAUGGACCCGCGGUGCAUUAGUUAGUUGGUGAGGUAAAGGCUCACCAAGACCGUGAUGCAUAGCCGACCUGAGAGGGUAAUCGGCCACACUGGGACUGAGACACGGCCCAGACUCCUACGGGAGGCAGCAGUAGGGAAUCUUCCACAAUGGACGAAAGUCUGAUGGAGCAACGCCGCGUGAGUGAAGAAGGUUUUCGGAUCGUAAAACUCUGUUGUUGGAGAAGAAUGUAUCUGAUAGUAACUGAUCAGGUAGUGACGGUAUCCAACCAGAAAGCCACGGCUAACUACGUGCCAGCAGCCGCGGUAAUACGUAGGUGGCAAGCGUUGUCCGGAUUUAUUGGGCGUAAAGCGAGCGCAGGCGGUUUCUUAAGUCUGAUGUGAAAGCCUUCGGCUCAACCGAAGAAGUGCAUCGGAAACUGGGAAACUUGAGUGCAGAAGAGGACAGUGGAACUCCAUGUGUAGCGGUGAAAUGCGUAGAUAUAUGGAAGAACACCAGUGGCGAAGGCGGCUGUCUGGUCUGUAACUGACGCUGAGGCUCGAAAGCAUGGGUAGCAAACAGGAUUAGAUACCCUGGUAGUCCAUGCCGUAAACGAUGA